rnacentral:rRNA from 1 species
AAUAUUGCACAAUGGGGGAAACCCUGAUGCAGCAACGCCGCGUGAGUGAUGAAGGCCUUCGGGUUGUAAAGCUCUGUCUUCAGGGACGAUAAUGACGGUACCUGAGGAGGAAGCCACGGCUAACUACGUGCCAGCAGCCGCGGUAAUACGUAGGUGGCAAGCGUUGUCCGGAUUUACUGGGCGUAAAGGGAGCGUAGGCGGAUACUUAAGUGGGAUGUGAAAUACCUGGGCUUAACUUGGGUGCUGCAUUCCAAACUGGGUGUCUAGAGUGUUGGAGAGGAAAGUGGAAUUCCUAGUGUAGCGGUGAAAUGCGUAGAGAUUAGGAAGAACACCAGUGGCGAAGGCGACUUUCUGGACAAUAACUGACGCUGAGGCUCGAAAGCGUGGGGAGCAAACAGG